AACGCUAGCGGCAGGCCUAAUACAUGCAAGUCGAGCGGCAAGUCGAGGAGUAAUCUGAGACCUAGAGCGGCGCACGGGUGCGUAACGCGUAUGCAACCUACCUCAUACAGGGGGAUAGCCCGGAGAAAUCUGGAUUAAUACCCCAUGGCAUCCCGGAGUCGCAUGGCUUCCGGGAUUAAAGAUUCAUCGGUAUGAGAUGGGCAUGCGUCUGAUUAGCUAGUUGGCGGUGUAACGGACCACCAUGGCAACGAUAGGUAGGGGUCCUGAGAGGGAGAUCCCCCACACUGGUACUGAGACACGGACCAGACUCCUACGGGAGGCAGCAGUGAGGAAUAUUGGACAAUGGGCGCAAGCCUGAUCCAGCCAUGCCGCGUGCAGGAAGAAGCAUCUAUGGUGUGUAAACUGCUUUUGUACGGGAAGAAACACUCCUUCGUGAAGGAGCUUGACGGUACCGUAAGAAUAAGGAUCGGCUAACUCCGUG
rnacentral:rRNA from 1 species